CUUUAGAUCUGUCGUUGCUGGGAACAGCGAUCCUGCGAAGUGGCACUGGUUGCCUACCAGCUAGCCUCUGUCCGAGCAGGCCACUUCAUCGUUACUUGAAGCUGCUGCAGGCUAAAAGAAGCUGAGCAAGCUCCGUGCGCAUAUGCCCACUGAUAUAACCUGGAGAGAUGGUCACUUCUGGGCACACCAUCCUUCCUGACCAAGUUGUGUGGAAAGGCAUCCAAGACACCCUUGGCCUUGGAUCACUUUUUGGAAGAAGAUCCAGGAGGGGGCAUCUCUUUUGCACGGUUUCUCGUGACACUGAGGGUAUACUGUGGAUCAGCCCUGCAGGGGCAGCAAGCUGAAGAACAAAGCCAGAACCUAUGAAGAAGUUCUGGAGAUUGUGU